GGAUCUGAACACGUAAACAAUUAAUAAGGCACAGCUCAAUAUAUGUGUAUAUAUUAAUUUUUAUGCGUAUAUGAACAAUGAAGAAUAAGGAAUCUAAAAGGUAAAGAAAAAGAGCUUAAAAAGUACCUGUGCGUAAUGUGAGGAGAGAGAAGGUGGAAUCUAGGGUUUUAUUAUGGAAAGAAGAAGGAGAAGGGUUUUUUUGGAAGGGUAUUGAAAAAUCUCCUCUGAACGAAAUUCUCUGCUAGUUUU
rnacentral:lncRNA from 1 species